GGGUCCAUAGCUCCAAUUGGCUAGAGCACCUGAUUUGCAUUCAGGUUGUUGUCGGUUCGAAUCCGACUGGAUCCA
rnacentral:tRNA from 1 species